CAGUCGAGGGGUAGCAGGAUCUAGCAAUAGAUUGCUGACGACCGGCGCACGGGUGAGUAACACGUAUCCAACCUGCCGAUAACUCGGGGAUAGCCUUUCGAAAGAAAGGUUAAUACCCGAUGGUAUAAUAAAACCGCAUGGUUUUGUUAUUAAAGAAUUUCGGUUAUCGAUGGGGAUGCGUUCCAUUAGGCAGUUGGUGAGGUAACGGCUCACCAAACCUUCGAUGGAUAGGGGUUCUGAGAGGAAGGUCCCCCACAUUGGAACUGAGACACGGUCCAAACUCCUACGGGAGGCAGCAGUGAGGAAUAUUGGUCAAUGGGCGUAGGCCUGAACCAGCCAAGUAGCGUGAAGGAUGACUGCCCUAUGGGUUGUAAACUUCUUUUAUAUGGGAAUAAAGUUUUCCACGUGUGGAAUUUUGUAUGUACCAUAUGAAUAAGGAUCGGCUAACUCCGUGCCAGCAGCCGCGGUAAUACGGAGGAUCCGAGCGUUAUCCGGAUUUAUUGGGUUUAAAGGGAGCGUAGGUGGACAGUUAAGUCAGUUGUGAAAGUUUGCGGCUCAACCGUAAAAUUGCAGUUGAUACUGGCUGUCUUGAGUACAGUAGAGGUGGGCGGAAUUCGUGGUGUAGCGGUGAAAUGCUUAGAUAUCACGAAGAACUCCGAUUGCGAAGGCAGCUCACUGGACUGCAACUGACACUGAUGCUCGAAAGUGUGGGUAUCAA
rnacentral:rRNA from 1 species